GGCAUGGUGGUUCAGUGGUAGAAUUUUUGCCUUCCAUGCUGAAGCCCUGGGUUCAAUUCCCGGCCAGUACA
rnacentral:tRNA from 1 species